rnacentral:rRNA from 1 species
GAUGAACGCUGGCGGCGUGCCUAAUACAUGCAAGUCGAGCGAACGGACGAGAAGCUUGCUCUUCUGAUGUUAGCGGCGGACGGGUGAGUAACACGUGGAUAACCUACCUAUAAGACUGAGAUAACUUCGGGAAACCGGAGCUAAUACCGGAUAAUAUUUUGAACCGCAUGGUUCAAUAGUGAAAGACGGUCUUGCUGUCACUUAUAGAUGGAUCCGCGCUGCAUUAGCUAGUUGGUAAGGUAACGGCUUACCAAGGCAACGAUGCGUAGCCGACCUGAGAGGGUGAUCGGCCACACUGGAACUGAGACACGGUCCAGACUCCUACGGGAGGCAGCAGUAGGGAAUCUUCCGCAAUGGGCGAAAGCCUGACGGAGCAACGCCGCGUGAGUGAUGAAGGUCUUCGGAUCGUAAAACUCUGUUAUUAGGGAAGAACAAAUGUGUAAGUAACUAUGCACAUCUUGACGGUACCUAAUCAGAAAGCCACGGCUAACUACGUG